CUUUCCAGUCGGACGGGCUGCUGGUGAAGGGCCGGCGCCGCUCCGCGCGUCCUUUUGAACUCAACGGGGGCGGGCACCGCGGAGUCGCGGAGGCCAGCAGAGGCCGAACGAGGACCCCGAGCGGAGGAAGCCGCGGGUGGCGCGCGGGGUCUGUGUCCUGAAGCUUGGCAGAUGAGCGAACUUAGCCAGCACACCCCCGGCCGUGAAGCAGGGAGGUGAAGCGGGGAGAGCAACGAGCCCCACCCGGGUCUUGCCAGCUGGACGUUCUUGUGGGGCAGCGUUGAGCAGCGGUUAGGAGUGCCGUGGACUUUGGAUUCAAACAGCCCCAGCUCUUCUGCUUGCUAGCUGGGUGACUUUGGGCAAAUUAACAUCUCGAAAAUCUGUUUCCUCAUUCCUAAAAUGCGGGUCUGAAAGUGAUCAUGCCUGUAAAGCCAUCUCAUAUCCAUGGUUCUAGAAGCAUGGUGAGCACCUCAAUUUGAAUAAUCAGUGCCAUGCUUUAGCUACCUCUUGACUCACUCGUUUGUGGCAGGAAAUGUUCCCAAAUUAAUCAGAAGAAUUCAGUGACUAAGAGGAUGUAAUAGUAUAUAGCGCAGGCACUGGAAUCAGCUCUGCUGUGUGAUCUUGGACAAGCUGCUUCUGUUCCGUUUCUCUUAUCUGGGGCAAUACCUGUCUGAAUAGAGUGACUGUUGGGACGAAAUAGGUUAGUAAAUAUGUACUGUAAGGCAUUAGAACCUUGCCUGGCACAUAGUAAGUGCUCAAUAAACGCUAGGUCUUGUUACCUUGGCUUCCCGUU
rnacentral:lncRNA from 1 species